rnacentral:rRNA from 1 species
GAAUCUGCCCCUUGGUUCGGAAUAACAGUUGGAAACGACUGCUAAUACCGGAUGAUGACGUAAGUCCAAAGAUUUAUCGCCGAGGGAUGAGCCCGCGUAGGAUUAGGUAGUUGGUGUGGUAAAGGCGCACCAAGCCGACGAUCCUUAGCUGGUCUGAGAGGAUGAUCAGCCACACUGGGACUGAGACACGGCCCAGACUCCUACGGGAGGCAGCAGUGGGGAAUAUUGGACAAUGGGCGAAAGCCUGAUCCAGCAAUGCCGCGUGAGUGAUGAAGGCCUUAGGGUUGUAAAGCUCUUUUACCCGGGGAUGAUAAUGACAGUACGGGGAGAAUAAGCUCCGGCUAACUCCGUGCCAGCAGCCGCGGUAAUACGGAGGGAGCUAGCGUUAUUCGGAGUUACUGGGCGUUUUGCGCACGUAGGCGGCUUUGUAAGUAAGAGGUGAAAGCCCAGAGCUCAACUCUGGAAUUGCCUUUUAGACUGCAUCGCUUGAAUCAUGGAGAGGUCAGUGGAAUUCCGAGUGUAGAGGUGAAAUUCGUAGAUAUUCGGAAGAACACCAGUGGCGAAGGCGGCUGACUGGACAUGUAUUGACGCUG